AUGGGUGCUCCCUUCAACAUACAGUAAAAUUAGAAUGAUACAGAGAAGACUAGUGUGGCCCCUGCAUAAGACAUAAAUUCGUGAAGCAUUAUGUAUUUUU
ensembl:snRNA U6 U6 spliceosomal RNA